rnacentral:rRNA from 1 species
GACGAACGCUGGCGGCGUGCCUAAUACAUGCAAGUAGAACGCACAGUUUAUACCGUAGCUUGCUACACCAUAGACUGUGAGUUGCGAACGGGUGAGUAACGCGUAGGUAACCUGCCUGGUAGCGGGGGAUAACUAUUGGAAACGCUAGCUAAUACCGCAUAAUAUUAAUUAUUGCAUGAUAAUUAAUUGAAAGGUGCAAUUGCACCACUACCAGAUGGACCUGCGUUGUAUUAGCUAGUAGGUGAGGUAACGGCUCACCUAGGCGACGAUACAUAGCCGACCUGAGAGGGUGAUCGGCCACACUGGGACGGAGACACGGCACAGACUCCUACGGGAGGCAGCAGUAGGGAAUCUUCGGCAAUGGACGAAAGUCUGACCGAGCAACGCCGCGUGAGUGAAGAAGGGUUUCGGAUCGUAAAGCUCUGUUGUAAGAGAAGAACGGGUGUGAGAGUGGAAAGUUCACACUGUGACGGUAGCUUACCAGAAAGGGACGGCUAACUACGUG